UUAACGUCAAGACUCGAAGCUAUUAACCUCAGGCUUUUCUUCUCUACUGAAAGUGCUUUACAACCCGCAGGCCUUCUUCACACACGCGGCAUUGCUGGAUCAGGGUUGCCCCCAUUGUCCAAUAUUCCCU
rnacentral:rRNA from 1 species